AACACAUGCAAGUCGAACGUUAGAGUGUAGCAAUAUGCUCAAAGUGGCGAACGGGUGAGUAACACGUAGUAACCUGCCGCGCAGAGGGGGAUAACGACUGGAAACGGUCGCUAACACCGCAUGGUACCAACUUGAAGGGAUGAAGGUUGGUUAAAACUAUUGUGCUGCGCGAGGGGCCUGCGUCCGAUUAGUUAGUUGGUGAGGUAACGGCUCACCAAGACGAUGAUCGGUAGCUGGUCUGAGAGGAUGAUCAGUCACACGGGAACUGAGACACGGUCCCGACUCCUACGGGGGGCAGCAGUGAGGAAUAUUGCACAAUGGACGAAAGUCUGAUGCAGCAACGCCGCGUGGAGGAUGAAGGCCCUUGGGUCGUAAACUCCUUUUUUCAGGGAAGAGAAUGGACGGUACCUG
rnacentral:rRNA from 1 species